CUCAGGACACGCAGUGAGUUUUCGGGGGGACGUGGGGCCAUGUCCAGGCUGACAAGAGCCCCCCGGCCUCCUGAGGACCUGCUGUGAGGCUUCCAGAGGAUGUGAGGCAUAGUCCACAGUGACAGGAGACCUGGCGUCCUCAGGACCCGCUGACUAUGACUCAGGAACACGUGGGGCCACGUGCACACUCACAGGAGCCCGGCUUCCUCAGGACCCCCUGGAGGACUCUGGAGGUUCCGUUGGGGGCCACGUCCACAUCAGAAGGGACUACUCAGAACCACAGGACUGUUGUGCCCAAGAUUGUGAAUCCGAGAAACCAACGAGGAGCCAACACUGAUGUAAACACAUGAGGGUUUAUUUACAAGCUGGAGCUUGUGUCCAAGUAUACCCCACACAGCGGAGCAUGGACUUGGACCCCGAGGGAGUGUGGAACUGGGAGGGACCGCAUGUGAGCUCAACUCGCAGAAGGAUGUUCCCCAAGGAGACAGCUUUCAACUACGUUCUCAGGCUCAUCUGUACCUGGUGACUCCAGUCCCCACCUGGGCCUCACCUGGAACUGGUGACUCUGGUCCUCUGCUUGGCCUUACCUGGACCUGGUGACUGUGCUCCCCACCUGUGCCUCACCUGGAUCUGGUGACUGUGUUCCCCACCUGGGCCUCACCCAGACCUGGUGAAUCUGUUUCCCACCUGGGCUCACCUGGACCUGGUGACUCUGGUCCCAUCCUGAGCCUCAUCUGGAUCUGGUUUCUGUUGGCCCCACAUGAGCCUCACCUGGAUAUGGUGGCUCUAGUUCCCACAUCAGGUUCACCUGGACAUGGUGACUGUGGUCCCCUUCUUAGCCUCACCUGAACCUGGUGACUCUGAUCACCAUCUGGGCCAUACCUUGACUUGGUCGCUCUGGUCCUCACCUGGGUGUCAUUGGGACCUGGUUAAUCUGUUCCACACCUGGGCCUCACCUGGACCAGGGGAUUCUGGUCCCCUCCUGGGCCUCACCUGGACCAGGUGACUCUGGUUUGCAAAUGGACCUCACCUGGAGCUGGUACCUGUGGUGUCCUUCUGGCCUCACCUGGACAUGGUGACUCUCAUCCCAUCUGGGCCUCACCUGGCCCUGGUGACACUGGUCCUCAGCUUGGCCUCACUUGGACCUGCUGAGUGUGGUUGCCACCUGGGUCUCACCCGGACCUGGCAACUCUGGUCCCCACCAGGGGCCUCACCCGGACCUGGUGAAUGUGGUCCUUACCUGUUCCUUACCCAGACCUGGUGACUCUGGUCACCACCUGGGCCUCACCUGGUCUUGGUGAAUCUGGUCCCCACCUGGGCUUCACCUGGACCUGGUGACUGUGGUCCCCACCUGGGCCGCAAAUGGA